CUUAUUUUAGAAAUACGCCUCUAAUUUUAGGGUGGUGACACUGGUGCAGGCAUGCAGGUUUUUAAUGAAUAGUUUCAACAAUAUUUGCGCCAUAUUGAAAAUUGCAAUGCAUUGUGGUUCGACUAUGAAAUUAACAUAAAAUGAUCAACUCGGUAUUUGAAUUUUAAAGCCAUUCAUUCAUUAAUUGCUUAAGUUACAUCUAUAUUUUCGAGUAAUACAGAAUGUGUUGACAUACUGCAUAUUUCCAAUAUCGUCCGUUUAUUUUCUUAUUAAUCUAACAGAUUAUAAUACCAUAAUGCUACUUUAUAAAGUGAUUAUAAUUAUGCUAUCGUGAAGCGGUAAUUUAAAAUUGAUUAUUAUAAUGAAGUUUUAAGUUAUCUAAAAGUAAUAAGAUACUGUAUAAGAUAGUGUAAUAUACAUAAUCUUGAAACAUUACAUAAAUGUUUGGGGUUGCUGUGUUGUCGACCACCGAGUCA
rnacentral:lncRNA from 1 species